rnacentral:rRNA from 1 species
UACGUAGGGGGCGAGCGUUAUCCGGAAUUACUGGGCGUAAAGCGCACGCAGGCGGUUCGCCAAGUUUGGAGUGACAGUUGUCGGCUCAACCGACAAAGGACUUCAAAAACUGGUGAACUUGAGGAUGAGAGAGGAACAUGGAACUCCAGGUGUAGUAGUGAAAUGCGUAGAUAUCUGGAAGAACACCAAUGGCGAAGGCAAUGUUCUGGCUCGUUUCUGACGCUCAGGUGCGAAAGCCAGGGGAGCGAACGGG